UACAGAUAAAUAUUUUUCUUAAGCAGACUUCCUUGCACCUGAUUUUUAAUAAAUAUUUUAUUUUUAUUUUUUUUUAUUAAUAAGAUUGUUUCCAUAAAUGGACCUUAUCAGGUCUUGUUCUUCUAUGGAGAGGGAGGUGCUGGCUGUAUAUAAAUAGAGCAAUGAAGUAUAAUUUGCGAAACAGAGCAAAACAAGAGCCAUGGCAAGAUUCAUCUUGGAGAAUCUAGCCUUGCAUAUUUCCCUUGUUGUAUUCAUUCUAUUACAUUCCUCACUUAGCGUUGCUUCUGACUCUACUCAAGAAGCUAAUGCUCUUCUCAAGUGGGCAGCCACCCUUCACAACUUUAAAGAUUCUAACAUAUCAUUAAAAUGGCAUCACCAUCCUAAAAAUGCCACCAAUUCUGAUCCAAGAACAAACCUCUGCAAUUGGCUUGGAAUUUCUUGCAACGCAGAAGGAAGGGUCGAGACACUAAAUCUCACAAACGCAAGUUUAAAUGGGACACUCCAGGAGCUUUCCUUCUCUUCCUUUCCUGAUCUUGCUAAUAUAAAUCUUAGCGUGAAUCUACUCUAUGGCACCAUCCCACUUGGAAUCACUCAACUUUCCAAACUCGUUUAUCUUGAUUUGGCAUAUAAUCUCUUGUCUGGGAGCAUCCCUCCGCAGAUUGGCCUCCUAACAAACCUCCAUACCCGGCACCUUGCUUCAAAU
rnacentral:misc_RNA from 1 species